rnacentral:rRNA from 1 species
GACGAACGCUGGCGGCGUGCUUAACACAUGCAAGUCGAACGGUGAAGCGCCUUCCUUUUUGGUGGGUGUGGAUGAGUGGCGAACGGGUGAGUAACACGUGAGUAACCUGCCCCCUUCUUCUGGAUAACCGCAUGAAAGUGUGGCUAAUACGGGAUAUUCUGGGUCUGUCGCAUGAUGGGUCUGGGAAAGAUAUUGUUUCGGUGGGGGAUGGGCUCGCGGCCUAUCAGCUUGUUGGUGGGGUGAUGGCCUACCAAGGCGGUGACGGGUAGCCGGCCUGGGAGGGUGGACGGUCACACUGGGACUGCGACACGGCCCAGACUCCUACGGGAGGCAGCAGUGGGGAAUAGUGCACAAUGGGCGCAAGCCUGAUGCAGCGACGCCGCGUGAGGGAUGGAGGCCUUCGGGUUGUGAACCUCUUUCGCCAGUGAAGCAGGCCUGCCUCGUUUGUGGGUGGGUUGACGGUAGCUGGAUAAGAAGCGCCGGCUAACUACGUG